GGAGAACUUAGAAUGCCUCAUUUUAUUGAUAAAAGUAUACGAAUCCCAAAACGAUGCUAAAUAACAGGAAAUAAAAUGUCACUAGUGGUCAUUAGCCGUAUUACAUUCAUAAAGCGAAAAAAAAAUUGCUAUCUAUUUGGUCCCAGCAGGACCUUCCUUAGGUUGAAUUCUCUCGUUAAUCAAAUCCUCCAGCUCGCAUAGGUUCACCAGUAGAAAUGUCUUUGCCAUGUGUUCUCCUUCGUUUCCUUCAACGUUCUGAAAGUCGGUGACUCUCUUCCUCACUUUCCCUUCCAAUUCCAGCAGACUGUACUCUAGAUAUUCCAACUUUUUGCUGGCUUUGGCGGCCCUCUCUUUCCACUCAUUGAUUUGGUCAUUUGACGGAAGUCUCCUCCACCAGUCUAGCAAGAGUGAAGGUAUGCUAACCAUACCGAAGUUUGGGACCUCGUUCUUCAUUUUCUGCAAAACAAAAGGGUUAAGACCCUAUUCCCACCAGACUUGACCAUUUAAAAAUCAAUAAUUGGCAUAAAAGCAUUUAGUUCUCUAAAUAAAUGCACAGAACAUGAUAGUGUCCGUUUGGGUUUUAGGAAAACUCAGUGGACUUUGGACAAGGCUAUCUUAAAGAGUCAUUAUGCGGACCACAUAACUGACUUGGCUAGGUUUGACCAUGAUGCAUGCAUAAUUAAAUAGAGUAAGGUUUCUAUGGGGGAUUUUAGACUGGUACCCUUGAGCGGACAACUCAAGGGGGAAAGGCACGAAACCGUCGACUACACCAUUGAUCGACUGGUUUUAUCACAAAUACGCCUUUUUUUGGAUUUAGGGGUGAUAAUAUCGGAAGAUCGCAACCACUCAUUAUAAGCGUUGAUAUGGAUUUGUUUGGCACGAGUGGAAUAUGAUGUUGAAAACAUGUAGUUGCAAUAAUCAAAACAAGUUGUCACGUAUUUACACGUUCAUAAAGUAAUAAUUACAAUAAUUUAAAACAGUAAUAAAGGAGUGCAGUAAAGAAUUAAGGAAAGAAACAAGAAACAAGUCAGUUUUUGCAGUAGAAGAGGAAAUUAAAUGCUUAUAGGUAUUAAACAAAUAAAGGCGCAUAAGAAAUGUAAAGUCGCAGUAAUAGCUUGAAAUGGUAAAAGCCUAAGAAUCCCCAACAGAGUCGCCACGCUGUCGCGCCCCCUUUUUCUCGCGAAAUCGAGUUUAUGACAUUUGGGAGGACAACCCGUUCCCUUUCGGGAAUUGGGUUUGAAUUUAAGAGUUGCCACCUAAUGAUUAAAGUGCAUUAGGAGAGAUUGGGUAAGGGCUUGAAAUUAUCCCAAGGGAAAGGUGUUAGGCACCCCUCAGGAUCCACUAGUGUGAUUCCCGGCCAAACUGUUGUUGUGACUUAAAUGCACAUAGGCAAAUAAAGGCUUCAGAUAAGAGGGGAUUUUCACCUAAUGGUUACAAAUAAGCAAAAGUAAGAAAAAGGAACUAAAAAGAGUUGAUGUUCUUGAAAGAAACGAUUUAAAAAGAUUUAACAGAAACAAAGAAAACAAAAGAAAGGGGGAUCCUAGGUUUAUUAAUAAUAUGUAUCACCCCAUACAACAUCCGGUAAUCACUCCUUAGUGAGGGGCUACACGUGAUGUUAUUGCAUGGUCAUCAUAUCCAUAUCUAUCCUUUUUCACCCCGUUAAGGUAUUAAAGUGCGGAAUGGUUUCAUUUACUUAUUGCAUGCUAUUACCCGCCCCAAUCCUAUUAGCCCCAGAGGUACUUGGGACUACUAAUCUUAGAGGGAGGAGGUAUUGGGCAUAUUUGUGGUUUCAAAAGGUAAAAUACUAAGGCGACAAACAAAACACAUAUAGCAAGUUUGGGGGAAGCAUAUAAAUAAAUAAAAGGGCUCACACAGACCUCCUUUAAACCAAAGAAAGCACAUAAUGUAGCAUGACUUGCAUGUACUGUUUAAGGUCUGAUUAAAACAUAAAGGGUCGAGGCAGACUAAUUUAUUACAUAGUUCAGAUAAGAAGCCCGAAUCAGGCCUGCCUGCUGGUUGUAGCUGAUAAAAAGUCUGAUUCAGUUUAUAAGUUUACCGUAUGGCUUGCCUAAGUGCUGGAUGAAGACCUAUAGGCGUGAUAUCUACUGAUUCCAAAAAUUAUGAAGUAAACAUGAAUACAUACUGAAGAAAGAAAGGCGAGUUUUUAGCAAAAGAGCAUGUGUCACUGUUACUGGUUUUAGGCUUAUAAGCGAGUGAAAUGAUUCAGACUUGAUUAAUAGUUCCUAUAUGCAUGCUUUCUACAUGUUGUUGAUUUUAAACCUCUUUUAACAGACAUGGUAAAAUGUGAAAACCCUAUAAACAUGAAAUCUAGGUGCUUAAUUUCAUUUAAGGCCUAUGAACAUGAUAUCUAAUUGUGGUUGAUUAAUUAAGACCUAUAAACAUGAUUGCCUAAUGAGGAAUGUAUAUGUAAGAUUCAGAAAGACCUAUAGGCAUUAUUUUCUAUAUGCAUAUGCAGGAUUCAGAUUUCUAGGUAAUUAUAGACAUGAUAUCUAUAUGAGAGAAUGCAGAAUUCCUACAGACAUGGUAUCUAUAAGAGAAAGCCUUUAUCCUAUUUGGAUGUGUCACAGUUCCUUAAGAAUUUCAUAAGAACUCUGGGCAGUGCUUACACCUAAAUGUAUCACGAGAUUAGGACAUAGUGUAGUGUGGAAGGGCCAACCCUCAGGUGUCCAAGUUCAUAGGGAACUCAAGAUCCAAAGUCAAGGCUCAGCAUAGGGGGUAGAACUUAUGAACUAAAAGAGAGUGCAAGAGCAAAAGUAGAAUUCUGAAAGGGGAAAGGGAAAAGGAUAAUAACUUAAAAUCAGUACACAUAAGGGUGUAGGGGAAUGGGGGAAUUUGCAAGGGCAAAAGAAUAGCAUGCUGAUGGGCACACCCAGCAAUGGGAGAUGCUGGCACACCCUCCAGCCUGUUUACUUAGAGGUUAAGACCCCAUUGGUUCAAACUUAAUUCAUGGGCAACAACUCACAUUGCCAUGCCUCAAGUCACAACUCUCAAACACAUAGGGGUAAUGGGGGUAGGGAGCAAGGAUUCACAGCAAAAACAAGUAGAAAGAUAUGAGCAUACUAACUUAAAUAUUGAACUUUAUAGAAACAAUAAAGUAGAUAAGGAUAUAAAAGCUGUAAAUGGACACAUUGUGAUGAUGCUAAGAAUUAAACCCGGACAUACCAGUUUUAAGGGAAACAAGUAAAGAAAAGCAGUACGUCUUGUAAAACAGGCCACAAUGCAUACAAGAAGAGAAUAUUAUUAUGAGAGAGUAUGAGUUCAGAAGGAUUCUAAAAGUGUGUUGUGUCUGUGAAGAGGGUCGUGCCUCUUAUAGUGCAAAAUCAGGCGGAAAUAAGAAUCAAUUACACAAGACUUCCCUUAGUAAAGAGAUUCAUAGUCAAACGGGUAAAAACGAUUUAAGGAAAGAAAUUGAGUAAGCACUUUGUGCACAGCAUGCAAUUAGGGGCAAAUACAUAAAAAGGUAUUUUAAGGAUAGGGUUUUGAAGUACAUGGUUGUACAAAUAAGGUAAGAAAAUCAAUCAGUAGCCAGUAAAUCAAAUGGUCAGGGAUCUUGUAAUUACUGAUCCAUAAAUGAACCAAGUCAGAAAAGAUGAGAAAGGUUUUAACUUAGGCCAAGUCACAGAGAAAAUCAGCAAACAAUGGAAAGAAAUCAAUCAAGCCAUAUUCAGAAAGAAAUUUGAACUAAUUGCAAAUUUGAAAGUCACUUGAGAGGGAAGUGCAUAAUAUAUAAGGAGCAUGUGAGCAUGUUAAGCAUGAAAGAAAGAAAAAAAAGAGAUUGUCGUGUCAUUGUGAAAUCAGUAGGAAAAUCCAGUGUAGAAGAGUUUAGUAAAGAACCAGAAUUGUAUGAAAACAAAGAUGUCCAAACUCAGUUCGGAGACUAGAAGUUAGUCUGAAAGAAUUAGGGGUUUUUUGAAAUAAGACACUAGUCAAGCAAACCACAAAGCAGAGAUGAGAGGGCAAACAAUUGAAUCGAAACAUGUUUAGAGGUUUUAGAAAAGAACUGAAACUUCCAACAUGCUUCUUUCAGCAACAGAACUCAUGAGUAACAUGCAAACACAGUAGAAGGGUUCAAAGAAAACAGAGUGAAGAAACUAAUUUGAAGCAUAAUGAGAAAAGACUGAUAAGAACAGUAUAAGAAGCAUGCUUAAGAAGAUCUUUUAGAAGAAACUUAAACAGAGAUCAGUAGAAUGAAAAUAGUAAGAACACUUAAGAACAUAGUAGAAAAAAUAUAGUAAGAGAACAUACUAGAACAUGGUAGACGAAAAUACUAGAACACAGUAGAAAAGCAUACGAAAACAUAGUAUAGGAAAACACAGUAAGAGAUGCAUACAAGAACAUGGUAGAAGAAAAUACAAGAACACAGUAGAGGCAAAUACGAGAACACAGUAGGAAAGCAUACAAGAAAAUGGUAAAAAAUAUACAAGAACACAGUAGAGGCAAAUACACAUGAAAGACAAAGAAAGUCAGAAAAACAGUUAAACACUUUCAGAAAAACCCUAGAUCGAAAAAGAAUGAUUUUAAAAGUAGUUUUUUAUUUCUGAAAGAAGAGUCAGGAAAAUCGUUUGAAAACUCAAGGAAAGCAUAGAUACACAAUGGAUAUAAAAGAAUCGGAGAAACCUCGAAGGGUUAGAGUUUCAGAAGAACCCUAGAAAUGAGAAAGGCUUUGAAAAGUCACUGAUCUGAGUCGGAGAGGUCAGAAUCUGGCUCACGCAAUCAUGGUAUGUCCGAGCAAGGCCGGAGAUGACCGUAGAACUCGAAUCAACAGAGGUCUAGACACAACCCUUCAUGGUCGAGUCAUGGAGCUUCAGUUAACCUAGGCGUAAGGAGCCAUAGGUGGCUUGGCUGGUGGUGAAACCACCAUGGAUCUAGGUUAGAGGGUGGCCGGAGAAGGUGAAAAGGAUUCAUCGGAGAGGAAGGGAUGGGGGAAGGUUCUAGAGAGAACCAGGGGUUAGAGAGAUA
rnacentral:lncRNA from 1 species